GUUGGGGAGGACAUAUCAGAAGCAGGGAGAUCAGCUAUGACAUCGUUGCACCAACACUGGUGCUUUAGACUAAGGUGGUUGCGUGGGUGGCCAUGGGGAGUGGUGGAACUCGGUAUAUUUUGGAGGGAGCGCCAACACGAUUUUCUGGAUUGAGGAUGAAGCGUCAGAGGACGACUCCCAGGGCCCGGGAUUCUGGGUGGAUAGAAUUGCCAUCACUGCACCAGGACAGAUUGUCCCACUUCCCGACAGCCAGGAAAAUGUGGUUGAACCUUUGAAGAAUGAAAUCCAACUAGCCAGCCUUCAAUCACGAAAGCACUAACCGCUCUGGUGUGAGCUACCCAAAUCCUUUCCCUCGAUGACCACUUCGCCCAGUUACAUAAUCCUGAGGAGAGCACAGGAGAAGAAGAGAACGGAACUCCCUAAGAAAAGGAGGCCAAGUGAUGGAGAUGGAGAAAAACCUUACCCAAGACUCCAGUGGAAGAUGAGUCAGGAGGCCCCCUGCCAGAGAAGGAAGACUGAGUUGGCUGAGUCUUGUCUGGAGACAAUAGAGUGAGGGCCACAGUGAAUCACUUGGGGCGCCCUACCUACCCUGCUCUAGGGAAGCCUGCCAUAUACCUGAUGGUUAAG